UACAGAGGUCUCAAGCGUUGUUCGGAUUUAUUGGGCGUAAAGGGUGCGUAGGUGGCGCGGUAAGUCGGGUGUGAAAUUUCGGAGCUUAACUCCGAAACUGCAUUCGAUACUGCCGUGCUUGAGGACUGGAGAGGAGACUGGAAUUUACGGUGUAGCAGUGAAAUGCGUAGAGAUCGUAAGGAAGACCAGUGGCGAAGGCGGGUCUCUGGACAGUUCCUGACGCUGAGGCACGAAGGCCGGGGAGCAAACGGG
rnacentral:rRNA from 1 species